GGCGGCGACGGGUGUGAGGAACUUGGACGUAGAUAAAGCAUCACAAGCCUAUUAAGCCGCCAACGGGCAGCAGAAGCCCAACAUUGACGACACAGAUGAGGAGCCCUGCGGCUAGGGAGGCGCGGAUGAAAGAUGAGGAGCCUUGCCGCUAGGGAGGCGCAGAUGAAAGAUGAGGAGGAUUGAGGCCUCCGACGCCCCUCCAGUCCUGCAUGCUGGCGUGGUGAGUAACGAGGAGGAGGAGGCAUUUGUUUGUGCUCUGGCAGUGCGGAGGCACUGGCCGGCCGGAGAUGAAGGGCUCGGUUGGCGGGGGUCUUGUCUAUUGGCUCCCAGUCCUAGCGGCGAGCGCGCAAGGUCGGAGAUGGAUUUGGUUGGGUUGGGUUGGAAUUGGAUUGGAUUGAAAAGAAAGGGAAGGGAAGAACGUGUGUCGGCAAGGAGGAGGAAGAAGAAGAUGUAAUAAGGAUGUACGGACUCGAGUUGCCUGCUGACGAAACGCGUGCGUUUGGGUGGAGAUUCGCGCGCGCAGGUGUUUCAUCUGCGCUAGUUACAAUAUCCCACUAUAGAAUAGUGUAGUACUUCGAAGUAGAAAGCCGUGUUUAAUUCUAACACUCAUCUUGAGGAGUCACUCUCAAAGCAUACAUAUGCUGACUCGUGACGUGACAAAACACAUACCGACUGCUUGAAAAGAACUCGUCUUGGAGACUAAACAUGGACAAACGAUUGUGGUGGUAAAUCGAUGUUUGAUGAGAGCAAGCUAGAGACAACGAAACGCCUAGAGACAACGAAAUAUGGAGAAAUGAUUGUGGUGGUACAUAUCAUGGUUUCAAUAUCCCGCAAAAAAAUUGCUCUUUCCUCUAUUGUGUACUUUUUUCUGUGCAUUACUGGUCUCCCGCGUAGUAAGACCGUGUGAAAGCAGCAGCGCGGAAUGGUCUCUCGCCUAGGCUAGGCUACCUGUGACUGAGACGGAUCUGCGUUUACAUAUAGGAUCACUUUUAUUGUUACCGUCUGUCAUAGCUUCAUGUAAAAUGCUAAAGGUCAAUUUGAUUUUCUCAAGGGAAAAGUGUACUUUUAGUCCCUUAACUUUCAAACUGGACAACUUGCACCUCCGUCUCUUGAAACCAGACAAUUUCAGUCCCUUGUCUCGGCUGUUCCAGUUACUUCUAUCCCACAAAUUUAGAUCAAUUCUAUCUAAUUAACCUUUUUGGUUUUGGGAGUAAUCUCACCACAUAAGAGCAUCUCUAGCCCCUCAAACGACCCCUCAAACCUGAACUCUUUAUAUUUUGAAGAGUUAAAUAAAAAUAAUUCCUAGCCAAACUCUUAACUUAAUUCCCUAAAACAUUUUCCACACUAAUUUAUUUCAACAUAUAUUGAAACUGCUCGAUUGAAAUAGAAAUUUAAACAAUGAUAGGAUAAUUCAGUACAUUGUAUAACAUCAACUUAAACUACUCGAUUUGAAAUUAAACUAAAUAAAACUAAUCUUCUUUGGCCAGGAUUUUCUCCCAAUCCGCGUCACCUACGCCGGAGCCUCUGGAGCUGGGGUCACAGACAAAAAUCUAUCUCUACCGCUCCAUCCUCAUCGCCGAGCCCCCACCGGACUGUCUAGCCUCAUCGGUGAUAUUUUUGUAGAGCUCGCAAACCGGGAGCUCCUCAACGACGAGCUCCGAAUGAUUUUCUUGGAGAUCGGCCAUAUACGCCUUGUCGGUGUGUGCGGCCUAGAUCUGCUCAAAGGCCUCCUUAUUAUCCUGCACCUCACGGAGGGAGACUACUUAGGUAUGGACGAAGAUGAGUUACGAGACAUCGCUACUGCUGAGACGAAUCUUUAUCUUCUUAUGGCUGCUGUGGAGGCUAGGUCUUGUUCAACUCUUAAAAAUUUAAGGACUUGUACGUUUUCUUAUAUCAUGAUAAAUGUUUAUUAUUCAUGCUAGAAUUGUAUUAACCGGAAACUUAGUACAUGUGUGAAUACAUAGACAAACAGAGUGUCCCUAGUAUGCCUCUACUAGACUAGCUCGUUAAUCAAAGAUGUUAAGUUUCCUAGCCAUAGACAUGUGUUGUCAUUUGAUGAACGGGAUCACAUCAUUAGAGAAUGAUGUGAUGGACAAGACCCAUCUGUUAGCUUAGCACUAUGAUCGUUUAGUUCAUUACUAUUGCUUUUUUGAUGACUUAUACAUGUUCCUAUGACUAUGAGAUUAUGCAACUCCCUAAUACCGGAGGAACACUUAGUGUGCUAUCAAAAGUCACAACGUAACUGGGCAAUUAUAAAGAUGAUCUACAGGUGUCUCCGAUGGUAUUUGUUGAGUUGGCAUAGAUCGAGAUUAGGAUUUGUCACUCCGAUUGUCGGAGAGGUAUCUCUGGGCCCUCUCGGUAAUGCACAUCACUAUGAGCCUUGCAAGCAGUGUGACUAAUGAGUUAGUCACGGGGUGAUGCAUUACGGAACGAGUAAAGAGACUAGCCGGUGACGAGAUUGAACUAGGUACGAUGAUACCAACGAUCAAAUCUCGGGCACGUAACAUACCGAUGACAAAUGGAACAACGUAUGUUGUUAUGUGGUUUGACCGAUAAAGAUCUUCGUAGAAUAUGUAGGAACCAAUCUGAGCAUCCAGGUUCCGCUAUUGGUUAUUGACCGGAGAUGUGUCUCGGUCAUGUCUACAUAGGUCUCGAACCCGUAGGGUCCACGUGCUUAACGUUCGAUGACGAUUCAUAUUAUGAGUUUAUGUGAUUUGAUGUACCGAAGGUUGUUCGGAGUCCCAUAUGAGAUCACAGACAUGACAAGGAGUCUCGAAAUGGUCGAGACAUAAAGAUUCAUAUAUUGGAAGGCUACAUUCGGACACCGAAAUGAUUCGGGUCGUUUCAGAUAAGUUUCGGAGUACCGGGGGUUACCGGACCCCCCCCCCCUCCGAGAGGUUAUUGCACCUCAUGGGCCUAAUGGUGGAAGAGAGGAGGCAGGCCAAGGUGUGGCGCCCCCCUAGCCAAAACUGAAUUGGACUAGGGCUAGGGGGCCGCCCCCCUUUCCUUCUCUUCUUCCUCUCCUUCCUUCUUCUCCUACUAGGACUAGGAAAGGGGGGGGGGGAACCUACUCCUACUAGGAGUAGGAUUCCCCCCCUUGGGCGCACCCCUUGUGGCUGGCCCUCCUCCUCCACCCCUCCUUUAUAUAUGGGGGAGGGGUGCACCCCAUAGACACACAAGUUGAUCUUUAGCCGUGUGCGGUGCCCCCCUCCACAGUUUUACACCUCAGUCAUAUUGUCAGAGUGCUUAGGCGAAGCCUUGCGUCGGUAACUUCAUCACCACCGUCACCAUGCUGUCGUGCUGACGAAACUCUCCGUCGGCCUCAAUUGGAUCAAGAGUUCGAGGGACGUCACCGAGGUGAAUGUGUGCAGACCGCGGAGGUGCCGUGCGUUCGCUACUUGAUCGGUUGGAUCACGAAGACGUUCGACUACAUCAACCGCGUUACUAAACGCUUCCACUUUCGGUCUAUGAGGGUACGUAGACACACUCUUCCCUGCUCGUUGCUAUGCUUCUCCUAGAUAGAUCAUGUGUGAUCGUAUGAUUUUUUUGAAAUACUAUUUUCCCAACACAAGCGCUACCCGCGCUUCCACGCCGGCGUUAACCUCGUCUAGGAGGUCGAGGAGCACCUCGACCGGGCCCUCACCUGCUUUAACGACCUUGCCCGUUUUGGCAGGGUCGAUUCCCCCAUUGCCUGACUCGUUUCCGACGAGUACGAUGGGUUCCAGAACACAUGCGGUCUGUAUGAUCUCGAUGAGGGCAAGGGGCUCGUGCUCGUGCUGGAGCUUGAUAAGGCGCACUUCCAUCUCGACACCAACUACGAGCUGGAUUGUGAGACUGCGGGGCAAGUAGGGGGGUGAUGAAUCUGGAAGUGCAGGUAUUUCGAAGAGACCUGGUUAGAUUUGUUGCCCCCAUUGCUAGAUGCUCCAUGUCUACUCCUCCGGUUCCUUGGUCAUUAUUGGGUUGUCUCAAUUUUCAGUUUGGAACACAUAGCCGUGAAUUUUUUAUUGAUAUAUUUGUAGGGAAGAUUUGAUGUAUUAUAUCUAAGCUCUCGCGAGCAGGCCUGAUUUUACAGAUGUUUAGAUGUAGCGGUUCCUGUUCAUUUACAACACAACCCUAUGAUCUAAUUUAUAUUUCUUUGAAUUUAUGAAAUGUGUCCUCUCAUGUUGCCGAUUCAACCUUGGAAGUUAUGGUAGAGACGAAAGGUGGUUUGGUCCAUCUGGUGGAUGGGCCGGAAGUGGAGAUAUAUAGUAUGAGUGGACAUAGCAGGAGCAUUAUUGGAGAUAGCAGGAUCACCCACAUAAUCAAAAUGCAAUGGAUUAAAUGAUGAAUGAUGUAGGGAUGUAGAAGGUGAUCAAUGAAAACUUGGAUGGAAAGGUCUGCUAGAGUGGUGAAUUGUGUUUCUUGAAAAAGAGAGGAAGAUACUUGUGUUUGUGGUCUCGUGGAAUAUCAUACAUAAUAUGCAUGUUUAUGGUAAAAAAACUUGAGCAAUAUUUAUAUUCAUUUGUUGGCCCGUGGCAACGCACGGGUGUUGAACUAGUGAGACAUUAUGGUACAACUCAAAAGAUUUUGAAACGAGGCAAAAGACUUGCCAUUUUCAUUGAUUAAGAAGAAGAUAAUUGCCCGGUUAAUUGACGGAAAACCGGGCUAAAGCCGUUACAACACAACCCACAUGACAUGGGCACCACCAGCCAACCUAGCCACUGACAUGGAACAAAAGCCACGACGGCGCAUGCCAACAAAUGACCACACGCGCAAGCAACCGACAACUCCGACUUUGACGACGCAAGGGAAAUAUGCAGGACUUGCGCCGACCAUGCCCCACCGCAGACGACCACUGAAUGCCUGUCAUCAUCACCACCUGGACUCGCUCCACCGCAGCUCCGACUUCAAAGCAACCAGCAACCACGGAAGAGCACCUCGGACACGCCGGGAAGAACCGACUACCGAAGACCAUGCCGCGACCCAAGCUCCAUUCGACGCCAUCAUCAUUGCCAAACAGAAACCAACGCCCUACCUCAGCAGACCACGCGGCAAAGAAGCCGCCCUCCACAACAAGGAUGUCGUCAUCCACUAGUGUCGGUGUACAAAAGUAGGGGUUCUUCUUUUGACCCCUUUACUUGUGCACAAGCAGUUAGAGCCGCGCGCCACUGCCACACUUAGCAGGGAAGAAGAGGGAAGCUGGAGAGAAGCCGAAACACGAGGCAACCAAGGCAAUGCCAAGACCAGAAACGCAAGAGAGCAAGAGGGCCAGGUGGACUCCCUCGGCAAGAUCCUUGCCGAGGUAGCCUCUGUAGCCCUGGCAAGAGCCUUGCCGAGGCAACUUGCCCGAUGCCAGCGGAGUGAGCCACCCUUGAGCCCACAGGCUCCAACCCAACCAACUACAUUGGAACCAGGGCUCAGGAGGCGCCUCUGUGGUGGCAUGCAAAUCUUCGUCAAGAUCAUAAACAUGUGAGAUCAGAUGAGGACCAGAAGAUGGCGACCCUCGGCGGGAUCCUAGCCGAGGAAAUCCACAAGAACCCGAAGACCCUUGCUGGAGACAACUGCAAUGCCACAACAGCACCCUUUCCGGGCCCCCGGCAAUACCUUUGGCGAGGGCAUCAGCAGGACCACUGCCAGGCCCGCGCCUGCCAAGACUCCACCAUCGUCCCCAAGAAGCUGCUAGCUCAACCAGCUGGGAAGGCACCUGCGUGGCGAUGGGCAGCCUCUACACCGACUCAGCAAGCACCUCCAUGGCGGCAUGCGACCCUUCGUUAAGGCUCCACCACCGCGCCAGCCCAGCAGCCAGCCAACGUGGCGCCAUAAUGCCUCAUCAUCUCGGACGCGUGUCGAGGCCAGGCGAGGUGGCGACAGCUGGGAUGUGCUUCCCUGGCAUCCCCGAUAAAGCAAGGAGGGCACGUCGGCAGCGCGUUAUCCUACGGUCCAAGAGGAUAGGAUUGUCAACUGUAGACCUUUUCACCUCCUGUGUGCCACUGUGGCAACCCCUUUUUCUUAUAAAAGAAGGCCCGAGGAGACCAGGAGAGGGAUUCGGCUCAUUUGGGCAAGUUGCACCCCGUAGCUAGCUCAAGAACACAAGAACACUCAAAUACAUCCACCAAAGCAGGACUAGGGUAUUACGCAUCUUCGCGGCCCGAACCUAGGUAAACGAUCCGUGUGCUUCCUGUCAGACCCGCUCUUCGCACAACCCCGCACCCGCCAACCAUAGAAGGGAUCCCGGUGACCCCAUAGGUGUCGUUUCCACCGACAACCAGUCUCCCAGUCGUAGACUACUCCGAGACGAUGCCCCCAAGGAGGAGAAAGACGUGAAGACGCCUCCAUCGCCCGAUCCGGAGGAUUUGAGGUUUCCCUCCGGAGCCAAAGCUAUGGGGAGUAGGAGCGCACCUCCAUGAUGAUGCUUCCAAGAAAGAUCGCGGCACCCGCGGGCACCGCCGUCGCUGGCUCCGGUGGAGACCGAAGCAAGGAUUUCUCCCGGAGAUGUGCCUACCACCCGCCACCACUGACCGCUGCCAACAAACCACGACCCCUACCGAGGCCGACCUCACUCAGGCCACGUGAUCCCACGAUCCACCGCGACCAGAAACGCAACACCCCCCAGCCGAAGCCACCGUCCACCACCGCAGCACCACCGUGACUACCACCACUGCAGCAACCAACGCCGCAUUGGGAUGCGUAGCACCAAGAUUGAAGCACAACCUCCCACCAGAUCCAAAGACAAGCAUGUUCUCCCUCCGCAGCACACCGUGCACUCCAGAGCAGCAUACCCACCAUGCCGAGCCGCCGGUCGCCACGCCCAACACGCGCCAGCCGCCGCCGCGCCCGGCCGUCGAUUUGCACCCCACGCACACUCCCAGAGCCGAGCCGCCGCUGAGCGCAUGCGUGCCAUCCAUGCCCAGGCCACGCCGGGAGCCCGGACCGAGGUCGUCGCCCCGGCGCCCCACCCGCCAAGCACCACUUUUGGAUCUGACGGUAGAACGGACGGCAAGCUAGGUAGCCCCGAUGCCAAUGAAGGCUGACCGGAGGUCAGCAACCACGGACGCGAAGGAAGGAGGCGAAGGGAUGGACGGGACACCACCCAAACGGAAGCUGGAGCAGCCUAGAUGCCGCCCGUCCGAUUCGCUCCCCCAGCACUCGAUCUGGACCACAAGGUCCAGAUCCGCGACGCCCGCACUGGGGGAACCCCAGCCAUAGCUGCACCUAGUUGGAGCAAUCAUCGAGCAUCGCCACCCCAUCCAUCGCUCCACACCGCCCCUAGGACCAGCACUGCGUGGCUCGGGCUCGCCUACGAACACCGAGGCACGAGCAGGAAGUGCCCCGCCGCCGCCGUCCGUCGCGCAGGCUUCACCUGACGACCUCCUCUGGCGGCAGCGAGGUGGCCGACGGAUCUAGUGGGGCGAGCUACGGUGGGGAAAGGGACCGCAGGCCAAUUAGGCCAGUGCAUGCCGUGCGCAGCCCAGGAUGCCCGUCCUGAGGUGGAAGGGGUGCGGGCGGAGGUGGGCUGCUCUGCGAGGCCCAGGCCUGGCCCGUCUGUAGCGCGGCCAGUACUUAACUGGCUAUGGAUCCGUCGGGGCACCUCAGACAGCUCGUUAGGGUUUCCAGCCACUCCAUCGGAGGUGCGGCGCUUCGGUGGAUCCGCACGCUCUCUCUCCCCCCUCUCCUCCCCCACCUCUCGAUCGAUCCUUCGUCGAGGUCGUUGCCAUGGGUUCCAAGGCAGAUCGGCGUGUGGACAAGCGGGCGGAGACGGAUCCGGAGGAGGAGCAGCGUCGCGAGCGAGAUCUGUGCACCCAAGCGAAGGCGCGUGCGGCGGAGCGCGCCGGUGAGGAGGGUGGUUGGGGGCCUCCCCCUCCCUGGUGGCUCAAGGAGCAGGAGUGGAAGAAGAAAAAGAAGGAGGAAUACAAGAAGAAGGGGUUGGAGCUCAAGCGCAAGGAAUCGCUCCACCCCUACAGCGGCGACCGCGUCGGCGAUUGCUUCACCAAGCAGAAGCAGAAGAAGCACAAGCCGGGGAUGCCGGCGGCCUCCAAGCCCCCUCCUCCUAGGGCACGACGGCGGAUCCCAUCCCCGUCGAGGAGGCGGAGGGGCAAAUUAAAGCCAUGAAACAAGUAGCUGGCAAAUCCAAAUUGGAACUAGCUCAAUUCGCAGAGUGACAAGCCUAUUAUUCGCCGGAGUGCUUCAGAUGUGGGCGUACGGGCCACUACCAGAACGAGUGCUCCUUCAAGCAGCUCUGCGUGCUUUGCAGCAAGGAGGGCCACACAUCGGCCUACUGCCCCACGCACGGCAAGCAGUUGGUGCUCCAGACCAUGGGCCACGCAUUCGCUGGUGGCGGCUUCUUCUGCCUGCAGUACCCCGAGGAGGCCGAUGCGGUGGAGGCGGGUUUGCUGGGCCCUAACACGGCCCUGGUGUCGGUGGCGCCCGGCGUGCUGACCAAGGAGAUCCCGGAAGCGGAGCUCCCUCAUCUCUUCGAGGGAGAGUGGGACUGGUAGGUGGCACCUUUCGACGUGGACUGUUUCUCCAUGGCCUUCCCAGAUCCGGUCAUGUUGAGGAUGGCGAUGCGUAGUGGCAAACUUUUCCUCUCCAUCAACAACAUCACGGCUGACAUCCGCGACGUGAUCCUUGCUGAGCCCAAGGCGCUGUCCAUGGCGGAAGUGUGGAUGAAGAUGUGGGGCAUCCCCCCGAAGCAGCGUGCGUGGAGCGUCUGAUGGCGGCCACGACCAUGAUUGGCCGGCUGCUGGUGGUGGAUGAGCUAUCGCUGAUCCGCUCGUGCCCGGUGCGCAUGCGUUUUGAGUGCCGUGCGUCGUCCAAGCUUCGUGGAUCCGUGCAAAUCUGGUUCAAUGGCGAGGGCUACAAGAUCAAGCUCGAGCUGGAGAUGGACCAACCUCGCGAGGCGGCUCCUGCCCUCCCACCCCCUCCCCCUCCUCCCAGCGGUCGUGGUCCGGGUGACCAAGAUAAGGACAAGCACAAAGACAAGGACCAAGAGCAUGAUGCCAGCAUGGAGGAGGACGACUCCAUCGACACGGUGGCGUGGGACAAGCUUGGGAUUUCUGCGUCGGGCCCUGGUGCACCGGUGGAGGGGGCGGCGGUGCAGUGGGCUGAUGUGGAGUUGGGGUCUGCGGGGAUGACGCUCUCGAUCCCCAACCAGUACGGGUCAAACCUGGGGUCGGUAUCUUCAACUCCCAUGUGUGCGGCCCCUGCUGCGUCUGUCGUGGUUCUAAGUCUGACAGUAGUGUAGGGGGGUAAGUAUGGAGAGGCAAGAUCUUAGCUAUGGAGAAGUUGUAAGCACGCAAGGUUUACGAGUUCAGGCCCUUCUCGGAGGAAGUAAUAGCCCUAUGUCUCGGAGCCCGGAGGCGGUCGACUGGAUUGUGUGAGUAUGAGUUACAGAGGUGCGAACCGUUGUCUCGGAGGAGGGGGGUGGCUUAUAUAGAGUGCGCCAGGACCCCGGCCAGCCCACAUUACAAAGGGUUCAAUGUACAUUAAGGCAGGGCAUUACUGGUAACACUAGUAAUAAAGUGCUAUGAUGACCAUAAAAGCUACUUAAUGACCGACUGUUAGCAUGCGGGGUGACUUUAGGUCUCCUGGCCGUCGAGUGGUUGGAUCUUAGUCGAGUGAUUGCUUCUUGGUCAAGUGUCUUCGAGUCUGUCGAGUGGAACACCUCCAAGUCGAUUGAAAGGUGAUUUCUUCUAGAGAUGUCCUUGGGUAGGGCAGUUAGGACAGGUCCAUGACCCUACCCUAGGUACAUAGCUUCAUCAUUAGCCCCCGAAUGGAUCGAGGUUUGAGUGGGGAAAGAGUUGAGGACCUCUCUGACUCGUUUUUCAUGUCGUGAGCAUAUCUUAUUCCGGAUCAACGAACCUGAGUGAUGACAGCAACUUCCUUUUCAGUCGCCUUGAUCCAUUCUUAAUUCUUCGUUGAGUGAGUUUCUUUACCUGUGAGGCUCCGAGUGACGGUGCGGAGGAGAUCUUUUAGUCUGACAAGUUUGUUUGCUGCCCGUAGAUUUCAUGGGAUCUGAAUUUUGGGAAGCACGCGGGACGGGGGAGGCCGCAGUAAUCGGAUGGGAUAGAGCGGAGACGCCUCGAUCCCCGUGCUGCCUUUUUCGUCACAUACCGCGCGCGCGAUCGUUACGGGAUUUGACAGAGCCACCUGGGCCUACCCGUCAGCCACUCGAAAGCGGCCUCAUAUAAGGCGUUGGACCGGAGUCUCCCGAACAGUGCGUUCCCAUUUCCUCUUCUCCUCUUCAUGCCCCUCCGAUGCGCUCGCUCUCGCCCCAGCAUCACCGCUCCGUAUGCGUCUCGCCGCGACAAUGGGGAAGGAGAAGACGGCGGCUCUGGAGCAGGCAAAGAAGGCGACGGCGAGGUCGAGGGGGAAGGCGACCAGCCGGGGCGGAUCUUCCUCGCGGACCGGCCUGCCGAAGGGCUGGAUCCACUCGAGGAUCACCCAAGAAGACCUCGACAACCUGGCCGAAGAGGGGCUGAUCCCCUAUGACUCGGCGCGGCUUCCGGGGAAGGAAUCUAAGCCGCAACCUCGGGAGGGUGAGCGUGUUCUUCUUGCCACCCACGUCGACCGUGGAUUUUCCUUGCCUCCUCACCCUUUCUUUCGAGGGUUUCUGAACUUCUUUGGGGCACAACUCCACCAUUUUACCCCCAACUCAAUCCUUUGUCUCGCCGCUUUCAUUUCUUUGUGUGAGAAUUUCCUGGGUUGCCGGCCUCACUGGGGUCUUUUCAAGCAUAUUUUCACUUGUCGCUCCCAGACAGUGAAAAAGGCUAAUCCGAGUGAUGAGAGGACCCAAGUGAUCCAGAUGUGUGGGGGUCUUGGCAUCUAGACAAGAGGGAAAAGCUCCUUUCCGGCCAUGAUUCUUCCUGACUCAGUUCGCGGAUGGCAGUCGACCUGGUUUUACUGUAAAGACCAGUCGACGCCAGGGCAAUUGACUGGCCCCCCUCCCUUUACCAUGGACCAAGUGGAGAAACCCUCCCCUUUGAAGGUGCUCCCGGAGGAGAAGGCGCACGUGAAGCUGUUGGUCGAUCCAGUGGUCCAGCAUAUUCGUGACGGGGUUACUGGUAUGGAUCUCUUGGAGGUCUUCCUUCAGCGGCGCAUCCAGCCUCUUCAAGCUCGAGACCAUUCGAAAUGGAUGUAUUCGGGUCUUGAAGACUCCACUCGGAUCCACCCGGAGGAGGUCGAUGACGACACACUUGAGAAGUGGCUGUCGGGCAUUACCGGGAACAAGGACAAUCCCAGGGGAGCUAGGAGAGUUCCCCCUUUCGACCAGUCUCAUGCACCAGAGCAGGUCUGAUUCUGAGUUUUUGCUUGUAAUCUGAAUUUACUCGCGAAGCUGCCUAUAUUGCGUCGACUGACUUUGUUCCCCCUACUUCCUUUCAGGCCAUUAUUGAAAUGUAUUCAAUGCCCAACGGGGAGCAAGAGCAAGUACUGGAAGGCGAGGCGAGUGGCGGCGACAGUGGCGAGUGAACUUCCGAUGGUGAAGGGGAUGGAGGAAGCGAUGAAUCAAGUGAUGGAGAAGAAGUCGAGUCGCCCCCUCGCUGGGAGAGGCGAUCCAAGCUCGAACAAGAACGGCCGAGUGCCCGCGACAAGGCAACUACUCAGGCUGGUCAGUCUUCGAAGCGUCCUCGGAUCUCUUCACCAACCCCGACUGAGAAGGCGCCAAAGCACCUCAAAGUUGUAGAGUCGAGGACUCGGAAGGCGUUGCCGAAGAUCAAGAUUGAUAUCCCCGUUGCCUCCGCGUGAGUGUCUCUCUUUGUAUUCACUCGAUGCUCCACGUUGUUUGUUUUUCUUCUUUUAACUGGACGAACUUUCGAAUUGUCAGUGCUGCCACUUCCGAGACCUCAUCUUACAGGGAUGAUGACGAGGUGAUGGAGGAUGCGGUCACUUCUAAUCCGGGUAUGAUUUCUGCCAUACUAUCUUUAUUCGGUCGAUUCAACUGCAAUGUGCCUCAUUGGGUGACGCGAUUUUGGCAAUUGAACUUUGCACAACUCCCAACAUUAUUGACCUCCCUGAUGAUGAUGAAGAGUCCAAGAGGCCUUUGACGAGGAAGAAUAGGCGAGCUCCUGUAAGUGAGGCGCUACAAUCGACGCCGAGGGCGGAGCCAGUCGUUCAGGACACUGGCGACAUCAAUCGGGGUUCUGUUACCUUCGCCGAGCCACUGUCGAGUGCCUUGCCUUCUUCGUUGACUGCUCGAGCCCCUGUCGACCUGCCUUCACUUUUUGCGACCCAUCAUGUCCCGGAGGACGAGGUGAAUGCUUCUAGGGAAGCCAUACGCCAGGCGGGCAUUAUGAUGGAGAAGAUGAAGAUGGUGCGGGACGCCAUCCAAGCCGCCUAUGAUGCCAGCUCGGCUCUCCAGAGCAACGUUUAGGUUAGUUCGUCGCCGCUUGUUCUGUUAGGAUAUGCUACCUGAAGAUUCUUUCCGAAAACCUUUGCAUCUGUACACCCACUGGGUGCGUCGAUUGAAUUUUUGGACUAGUGGGGGCACGCUGAGUGCACCCACUGGGUGUAGUCCCCGAGACUAUGGUGGACUGCUGGCAGUCGACUGUAGUCUUCGUAUUUUGCCGAAUGUAUAAAUCAAACUGGUAGUUUGUCUCUUCCACUCGGUCUGGUCGAGUGGGAUCAGAACCGGUGGGGGUACACUAAGUGCACCCACUGGGUGUAGUCCCCGAGACUAUGAUGGACUGCUGGCAGUCGACUGUAGUCUGAGUUCUACUUUCUCUCUUUCUGCCUUUUUUUUGGACUCGACUUCGGCGGGCCGGUCGAGUGGGAUCAGAACCGGUGGGGGCACACAAAGUUCACCCACUGGGUGUAGUCCCCGAGACUAUGGUGGACUGCGGGAAGUCGACCGUAGUCUUAGUAUUUAUUGCCUUUGUUGUUUUUUGCUGUAAAAAUAACUUCUUCCCUUUGAUUUCAGAAAUCUUGUGAUCUUGGAGCUCACUUUGCAGACUUGGAGAAUCAGCAGAUUCAACUGAACCUUGACUUGGAGCUGGCCAGGACAGAGCUGCAAAAGGUCAGAUACGGCGCCGCAGGUAAGACGAGUUUGUCGACUGGUCAGUUUUAGGCUUGAGUACCAUUCUGCUAUUUCUGAAUCAAUCAUCAUUUCUUUGCAGAAAAACUGAGAGAAGCUCUGGCGAAGAAGGAUCAGGAUUUGGCCGCUGCUCGUAAGGAGGCUGACGACAAGACCGCUCUGGCCGAACAGAAGCUGGUUUCGGUCGGCCGGUUGGAAGAAGAGAAUACCAGGCUGAAGAACGCUCUGAAUGACUCCAACAAGGAGUGCUUGCGCUGGAAGAAGGAGAAUCUCAUCCAGGGCGAGAAAAUGGAAGGUAUUUCUCGCAGGAGGGAUGAUCUGGAGAGCUAUCUGAGAAGUCUUGCCAUUAAGUUAUUCAUCAAGCUUGAAGGUGCACAUUCUGUUCUGACUUAUUUUUUUGUGUCGACUCAGUGUACGAAAAUUGAAUUAUCCUUGGAUUUUGAAUGCAGAGUUUUGCCAGAACUCAGAAGAGGAGACUGGGCGGAUCGAACCAGGUUUAGAUCCAAUCAACUCUCCCGUGAAAGAUGAAACUGCCAUGAAUCUGCUCCGUUUGGAAUCUCGCAUCGACAGUGCCGUGGACUACUUGGCUCGACUGAAGGUUGCCAUGUCGCGGAUUGACCCGGCACUUUGGCCAGAGGCUGUGCUCCAAAAUGAUAUUGAGUCCCUGAUGACUCGACUAACUGAAAUCCUCGACCGAGUGCAGGAGUAGAAGAAGUCUGCUGCUCGGUGUGGCGCUGACGUGGCUCUGUCUUUCGUUCGUGUCCGCUGCAAGGAGGUGCGACAGGACAAACUAGCAGCAAUCAAGGUCGCCAACACCCAGAAGCAUGACUUCCGAACCUUUAUGGAGACUUUCAUCGCUGCAGCCACUCGGAUAGCCGACGGCGUCGACCUGGAUGAGUUCGUCGAGCCUGCCAGCCCUCCUCCCGCAGAGUGAACAAACUCUUAUGGCUCACCUUAAAUUUGCCUCGGAAUGCCGAGUGGUUUUUGUAACCGUUAAACUUUUUUGGGCUGCAUGCCCGAGUACUUCGAUCUAUGAUCUGGAACCUUUAGAAUUUACCUGAACUUGGUUUACCGUUGAAUAUCUUUAUGAAUCUCCUGCUGAGUGAACCCAUUCUUCAUUCGAUACAACUUUUGUAUUCGCAGCGCAGCGUUGAAGGAGAGGGAAGCAGUUGACCCAUGUCUUGUACUUGUGGCUAAGCUCCCCAGGGGAAGGCGGCGGUCGACCCACACCCCGUUACUGCAGAGUGGAUGGAACACACAUUGUAUUUGUGGCGAAACUCCCCAGGAGAAGGUGGUAGUCGACCUGACCCUCAUCGUCCUUGAGGAUUGAGAUGUGUUUCGUACUUAGGCAAGUUCUGGACUGCAGCUAAGCCCGAAUGGGAGGAUUGCUCUCCACUCGGUUGGAUUUUUUCAAACUUAGGCGAGUGCCGGAAUGCUAAGUCUCUAAGUGAGAGAACUUAGGCGAGUACUGGACUGCAGCUAAGCCCCCGAGUGGGAGGAUUGCUCUCCACUAGGUAGGAUUUUUUCAAACUUAGGCGAGUGCCGGACUGUAGCUAAGUCUCCAGUGAGAGAACUUAGGCGAGUACUNNNNNNNNNNNNNNNNNNNNNNNNNNNNNNNNNNNNNNNNNNNNNNNNNNNNNNNNNNNNNNNNNNNNNNNNNNNNNNNNNNNNNNNNNNNNNNNNNNNNNNNNNNNNNNNNNNNNNNNNNNNNNNNNNNNNNNNNNNNNNNNNNNNNNNNNNNNNNNNNNNNNNNNNNNNNNNNNNNNNNNNNNNNNNNNNNNNNNNNNNNNNNNNNNNNNNNNNNNNNNNNNNNNNNNNNNNNNNNNNNNNNNNNNNNNNNNNNNNNNNNNNNNNNNNNNNNNNNNNNNNNNNNNNNNNNNNNNNNNNNNNNNNNNNNNNNNNNNNNNNNNNNNNNNNNNNNNNNNNNNNNNNNNNNNNNNNNNNNNNNNNNNNNNNNNNNNNNNNNNNNNNNNNNNNNNNNNNNNNNNNNNNNNNNNNNNNNNNNNNNNNNNNNNNNNNNNNNNNNNNNNNNNNNNNNNNNNNNNNNNNNNNNNNNNNNNNNNNNNNNNNNNNNNNNNNNNNNNNNNNNNNNNNNNNNNNNNNNNNNNNNNNNNNNNNNNNNNNNNNNNNNNNNNNNNNNNNNNNNNNNNNNNNNNNNNNNNNNNNNNNNNNNNNNNNNNNNNNNNNNNNNNNNNNNNNNNNNNNGUACUGGACUGCAGCUAAGCCCCCGAGUGGGAGGAUUUCUCUCCACUCGGUAGGAUUUUUCAAACUUAGGCGAGUGUCGGACUGCAGCUAAGUCUCCAUGUGAGAGAACUUAGGCGAGUACUGGACUGCAGCUAAGCCCCUGAGUGGGAGGAUUUCUCUCCACUCGGUAGGAUUUUUUCAAACUUAGGCGAGUGCAGGACUGCAGCUAAGUCUCCAAGUGAGAGAACUUAGGCGAGUACUAGACUGCAGCUAAGCCCCCGAGUGGGAGGAUUUCUCCCCAUUCGGUAGGAUCUUUUCAAACUUAGGCGAGUGCCGGAUUCGCAGCUAAGCCCCUGAGUGGGAGGCUGGCUCGCCACUCGGUAGGAAACUGUUUUUACAAACUUAGGCGAAGCGGAUUCGCAGCUAAGCCACCCACUGGGGGAUUUCUUACACAAACAAAAACAAUAAUAAUCACAGGAAAAAUUAUAAUGCUCUUGUCUUUGAUAAAUAAACUACAGGAGUUUUUCUUAUUACAUCUCAUCCGAGUGAGAAUUCAAGUAUAAAAGGGGUGGAGUAGCUCCGCAUUCCAGGCUCGUGGCUCAUCAAUCUGGCGAUCCACAUUGUAGAUGUGGUAUGCUCCAUUGUGGAGGACUCUGGUGACUAUGAAGGGGCCUUCCCAAGUAGGAGCGGGCUUGUGUGGUUUCUGCUGAUCCACUCGGAGGACUAAGUCUCCUUCUUGGAAGGCUCGGCUCUUCACGUUCUUGGCAUGGAAUCGACGCAAGUCUUGCUGAUAGAUGGUAGAUCGAAUCAAUGCCAUUUCUCUUUCUUCUUCUAGGAGGUUGACUGCGUCCUACCGGGCUUGUUCUGCUUCAUCUUCUGAGUAGAGCUCGACUCUGGGAGCGUUGUGAAGCAGGUCACUCGGUAAGACUGCCUCGGCUCCGUAGACCAGAAAGAAUGGGGUUCUUCCGGUCGAUCGAUUCGGGGUUGUCCUCAAUCCCCAAAGGACUGGUGGAAGCUCGUCGACCCAUGCACCUGCUGCGUGCUUGAGAUCGUGCAUCAAUCGGGGUUUCAGUCCUUUGAGAAUUAGGCCGUUUGCCCUUUCUGCUUGCCCAUUCGACUGGGGGUGAGCGACCGAAGCAUAGUCGACCCAAGUGCCCUGAGAGGCGCAAAAGGACCUGAAUUUGUCGGAAUCGAAGUUUGACCCGUUGUCGGUGAUGAUGCUGUGUGGAACUACAUAUCUGAAUAUCAACUCUCUGAUGAAACUGAUAGCGGUUCAAGCAUCAAGAUUCUUGAUAGGCUUGGCUUCAAUCCAUUUGGUGAACUUGUCGACUGCUACCAGCACAUGAGUGAAGCCUCUCCUACCUGUUCUCAGUGGUCCAACCAUGUCCAACCCCCAAACAGCGAAAGGCCAGACAAGUGGAAUGGUUUUCAGGGCUGACGCGCGCUUGUGCGGCAUAUUGGAGUAAUACUGACAUCCUUCACAUUUGUCGACUAUCUCUUUGGCCAUCUCAUUGGCUCUUGGCCAGUAGAACCCCGCUCGGUAUGCUUUAGCCACAAUGGUCCGAGAGGACGCAUGAUGACCACAGGUCCCCGAGUGGAUAUCGUUAAGGAUCAUCUGACCUUCUUCUGGUGUAAUACACUUCUGGCCGACCCCAAUCGCGCUUUCUCUAUAUAACUGUCCCUUUAUGACUGUAAAGGCCUUGGAUCGACAGACGAUCUGUCGAGCCUCUUCUUUGUCUUCUGGGAGUUAUUUCCUUAGGAUGUACGCGAUGUACGGUUCUGUCCAGACGGGAGUGAUAACCAAGACUUCCAUGAUCAGGUCGACCACAUCUGGAACUUCAACUUCAGUCGUAUCCGUGGCACUUUUUGGCUGCGGGGCCUCUUCAGUGAAGGGAUCCUCCUGGACUGAUGGUGUUUGGAUGUGUUCCAAAAACACAUUGCUGGGAAUGGCUUCUCUUUUGGAACCUAUUUUUGCCAGAUCAUCAGCUGCUUGAUUUUUCAGUCGGGGUAUGUGAUGAAGCUCUAACCCCUCGAAUUUCUUCUCCAGCUUUCUCACUUCAUUGCAAUAACCAGUCAUGGCUGGACUUCUGAUGUCCCAUUCCUUCAUCACUUGAUUGACCACCAAAUCUGAGUCGCCGAGUGAAAGGGCCAUGCGCAACCCAUAUAAAAGUGCUUCUUAUUCUGCCUCGUUGUUAGAGGAAUCAAAGUGUAUUUGAAGAACAUAUCUGAGUUUAUCUCCUCUGGGGGAGACCAACACCACUCCGGCUCCGGAACCAUUUAGCAUCUUGGAACCGUCAAAGAACAUGGUCCAAUGCUCCGAGUGAACCUGAGUCGGCAGUUGUUGUUCAAUCCACUCGGUGACGAAAUCCGCGAUUGCCUGGGACUUGAUAGCUUUCUUUGCCUCAAACAUGAUAUCUAGAGGAAGAAGUUCAAUCGCCCAUUUUGCCACUCGACCAGUUGCGUCCCUGUUAUGCAAGAUCUCUGACAACGGAGCAUCGCUGACGACUAUAAUGGAAUGAUCAGAGAAGUAGUGGGCAACUUUCUUUGUGGUCAUGUAAAUCCCAUAUACGAGCUUCUGAUAAUGAGGAUAUCUUUGCUUCGAUGGGGUCAAGACUUCAGAAAUAUAAUACACUGGGCGCUGAACUUUGAAGGUUUUCCCUUCUUCUUCCCGCUCGACCGUAAGUACUGUACUGACAACUUGUCCUGUGGCUGCAAUGUAAAGCAGCAAAGGCUCCUUGUUGAUUGGGGCAGCAAGCACCAGCUGGGUGGAGAGGAGAGCUUUGAGCUGUGCGAACGCUGCGUCAGCUUUAGGAGUCCACUCGAACUUGUCAGACUUCUUCAUCAAUCGGUAAAGAGGCAAUGCCUUUUCACCGAGACAAGAUAUUAAUCGACUUAGGGCGCCAAGCAACCAGUAAGCUUCUGAACAUCGUGCACUCGCACAGGUCUUUUCAUUCAGAGUAUAGUACCGACUUUUUCUGGAUUGGCGUCGAUUCCCCGUUCGAAAACAAGAAAACCGAGUAACUUUCCGCCAGGAACCCCAAAUGUGCAUUUUGAUGGAUUAAGCUUGAUAUCAAACCUUCUGAGGUUGGCAAAGGUUUGAGCAAGGUCAGUCAGCAGGUCGGAACCCUUCCAUGACUUGACCACAAUAUCAUCCAUGUACGCCUCCACAUUCCGACUAAUUUGGGUGAGCAAACACUUCUGAAUCAUCCUCAUGAAUGUGGCUCCGGCAUUCUUGAGGCCGAAUGGCAUGGUAAGAUAACAGAAGCACCCGAAUGGAGUGAUGAAAGCUGUUUUGAUUUCGUCAGGCCCAUACAGACGGAUCUGAUGGUACCCGGAAUAGGCGUCUAAAAAAGACAGUCGCUCACAUUCCGAGUCGACUAUCUAGUCAAUGCGGGGGAGAGGAAAAUGAUUUUUCGAACAGGCCUGAUUGAUAUGUUUAAAGUCAAUGCACAUGCGCAGUGACUUGUCCUUCUUGGGGACCAUGGCAACAUUGGCAAGCCACUCAGAGUGGUAGAUUUUUCGGAUGAACUCCGUCGCUAAGAGCCGAGCCACCUCUUCGCCAAUGGCCUUUCUCUUCUGGACGGCGGACCGUCGGAGAUGUUCCUUGACAGGUUUUACUUUUGAGUCGACUCUUAGGCGGUGCUCAGCCAGCUCCCUGGGAACACCCGGCAUGUCAGAGGGCUUCCAUGCGAAAAUGUCCCAGUUCUCAUGGAGGAACUGGAUGAGCGCUUCUUCCUAUUUGGAGUCGAGUGUUGUUGAGAUAUGAGUUGGAGCAGCGCUGGGGUCGGUCGGGUGGAUAUGAGUUGUCUUUGUAUCGCCAGUCGACUGAAAAGCUGACUCCGUAGCGGGCUUCUUGGCUCGCAACAAGUCACUCGGGUCUGCAGUCUUCUGGUAUUCCUGCAACUCCACCACUGCCGUCUGAGCAUCGGCGAUCUUCGAAACUUUUUAAAAACAUUCUUCCGCUUUCUUCCGAUUGCCCGUAAUAGUGAUCACACCUUUGGGGCCAGGCAUCUUCAAUUUGAGAUACACAUAACACGGUCGGGCCAUGAAGCGUGCAUAAGCCAGCCUGCCCAAAAUAGCGUGGUAGGCACUCUGGAAGUAUACAACUUCAAAUAUCAACUUCUCUUUGCGGUAAUUCUUGGAAUCACCGAAAACCACAUCAAGAACAAUCUACCUGAGUGAUUCAGCCUUCUUCCCAGGAAUGACUCCAUGGAAACUCAUGUUGCUGGCAAUGAGUCUGGACAUCGGAAUGCCCAUCCCUUUCAACGUCUCAGCAUACAAUAUGUUCAAACCACUGCCACCAUCCAUCAAGACUUUGGUCAGUCGAGUGCCUUCAACCACUGGGUGGACCACCAGAGCUUGCCUCCCAGGGGUGGCAAUAUGCGUUGGGUGAUCGGACUGGUCGAACGUGAUGGCAGUCUGGGACCAUUUCAAAUAACUUGGUGUCGCCGGAGCAACCAUAUUCACCUCUCGGUUGAUGACUUUCAGUUGACUUUUGCUCUCAACAUCAGCAAAAAUAAUCAAGGUGGAAUUGACUUGCGGGUAUCCGUCGUCACUGUCCUCUUUGUCCUCGACCUUGUCUGACUCCUUUUCCUUACCUUUGGGCUUCUUGCCCUGGAACUGCCGGAUCAAGAGUCGACACUAUCGAGUGGUAUGUUUCGGGUAAAUGAAAUUACCCUCUUCAUCUUUCUUUAUGUGGACGAGACAUGGCAAGUCCAACACGUCAUUUCCAUCCUCGUCUUUAACCCUUUUGGGGUUCCAAGGCUCUUUAGGUUUCCCUUUAAACUUUCCUUGGGUUAAAGACAAGGCUUCCCCGGGAGCUACUGGCUCGGCUUUCCGCUUCUGUUUCCGAUUGGAAUUGCCUCCGGUUUCAUGGGCGAUUGACUUGAGCUUGCCACUCCUGAGUCGAUCCUCAUCUUCACCAUUAGCGUACUUGGUGGCAAUCUCCAUCAUCCGAUUCAGGGACAUAUCCCCGGUUCGACCGAAUUUCAAAUUGAGUUCUCUGUACUUGACGCCUUCCUUGAAGGCACAAACUACUUGGUGGUCAGGCACAUUCUCCACCGAGUGGUGUAACGUGAUCCACCUCUGGAUGUAAUCCCUCAAAGUUUCAUUUGGCUUCUGUACGCAAGACCGCAGUUCCGUCAGCCCUGCCGGUCGCUUGCAUGUGCUUUCAAAUGUGGUGACAAACACUCGGGAGAGAUCUUCCAAAGUGUAAAUGUUGCUAGGUGCUAACUGGUUCAGCCACGCUCUAGUCGAGCCCUCCAACAUGAGAGGCAGGUGCUUCAUGGCCACUUCAUCAUUGCCGCCGCCAAUCUAGACGACCACUCGGUAGUCCUCAAGCCAUGUAUCGGGCUUGGACUCACCAGUGAACUUACUGACUCCAGUCGCCAACCUGAAGUUGGGAGGAAUCAUAGCGGCCCUGAUGGCUCUAUUAAAGCACUCUGGACCCGAAGCAUGUACUCUGCUGCUGGUAGGUGCAUCUCUGUCGUGACCUUCUCGGUGAGCCCUGUUCCUGUCGACCAAACCCUGGACGAGAAUGGAUCUCGCAUCAAAGCCUGGCCCUCUGGGGUCGACUGGAAUCCUUCGCCCACCACUAUGAGGGCGCCUGUCAUCCUGCUGGCAAGGCACAUACGACCCGCUCCUCGGGGGAGGCGUGGGCACUCGACGUCGACCGUCAUGAUCGACUCGGUGAUCAUACUGCUCAUGGUUCCCAUACUGGUCACGCCGUCUCCACGUCCCUCACGCCUCGGGGGCGAUCUCGGGCUGUGAGCCAACUGGACUGUGUCCGCGGCAACGGAUUUGCUGUGAAUCCUGUUCCCUGACUGAGAAACAACGGAAUUAUGAUCUCUUGCUGCUCGGAGUAACGCUCUGAUCUGCAGCAAGCCUCUGCCAACCUCCGACUGGGAAGGCUGAAUCGACUCCGCUAUACGGGCCGCAACUGCUAAAUUCUGAAUCAGAGUUUGAUAUACCUGCGGGGGCGGGAAGAGCUGACGCCGACUGGAUUCGGGAACCCGUUGUCGUGCACGCUCGUCGAGUGCUCGCUGGAGGUUCUCCAGUCGAGUGCGCUCGGCCAAGUUUGCCAGGCGCGCGUCCUCCAAGGCGCGAGCCUCGGGGAUUUCUCCAACGAUAGGAGUGUGCAGUGCAUCCACGUUCCGGCGGCGAAGUUCUUCUCUGUGCAGCGACGUGAGAGGCUUGAGAAGAUACUCCUCAUGGAGACGUGACGGGUCGCCUCCACCCGCGCCUCCGUCGGUGCGGGGAAACCCGGGAGGACUGGGCGGUCCAUCGACCAUCAGAACCUCCGCCGCCGGAUCGCUGUUGUCGCACUCGGAUGCGGUCUUUGCGGAGCCAGCCGACAGGUUGAACAGGCCGUAGAGGGAUUCGUCGGGCUCGAUCGCCGUGACUUGGGGGGUGGCCGACUGAUGUGCCACCGCAUGCCUCACCCACCGCUGACGUACGCCGGCUGGAAACGGGGAGGGAGGAUAACACAGGAGCCGACUGGUAGGGGGUCGACGGUUGCCGCAGGAGAACGCCGCGGACGCACGCGCUAAAGUGCCUUGCCCCGCGAGCAGGGAGUGCGUCUACGUCGAGAGGAGCCUCCUGGAGCCAAGCAGAGUCAUCGACGAUGAACGUGAGCACGCCAAGACGGAUCGCGCGGCCCUCCACCAAACCUCCGCCGAAAACCAUGAUGAUUCGGGUCGGAAAAGGUCGCAACUCCUCCAACAAACGCUAAAACACCGGUCCCACGGUGGGCGCCAACUGUCGUGGUUCUAAGUCUGACAGUAGUGUAGGGGGGUAAGUAUGGAGAGGCAAGAUCUUAGCUAUGGAGAAGUUGUAAGCACGCAAGGUUUACGAGUUCAGGCCCUUCUCGGAGGAAGUAAUAGCCCUACGUCUCGGAGCCCGGAGGCGAUCGACUGGAUUAUGUGAGUAUGAGUUACAAAGGUGCGAACCCUUGUCUCAGAGGAGGGGCGGCUUAUAUAGAGUGCGCCAGGACCCCGGCCAGCCCACGGUACAAAGGGUUCAAUGUACAUUAAGGCGGGGCGUUACUGGUAACGCUAGUAAUAAAGUGCUAUGAUGACCAUAAAAGCUACUUAAUGACCGACCGUUAGGGUGCGGGGUGACUUUAGGUCUCUUGGCCGUCGAGUGGUUGGAUCUUAGUCGAGUGAUUGCUUCUUGGUCGAGUGUCUUUGAGUCUGUCGAGUGGAACACCUCCAAGUCGAUUGAAAGGUGAUUUCUUCUAGAGAUGUCGUUGGGUAAGGCAGUUAGGACAUGUCCAUGACCCUACCCUAGGUACAUAGCUUCAUCAGCGUCUGCGGGUGUGGGCGGUGGCCGAUCCCCGCUCGAUCUCUCCCCCAACCCCUCGCGUCUCCGCCCGGUCGGGUCCCCUGCCUCUGGUGGCCGCGGCUCCACCGUGAGCGGCUCGGUGAAGCCGAUGAAGAAGUUGGCGGUUCGCAAGGUCACCGCGGAGGCAGUGCGCGAUGGAAUCUCUGGGGGCGCCCCCACUCCACGACAGUUUGUCAUGGCGUUGGCGGCCCCGACUGUGCCACCCUCCGCUGACCCACUGCUGCAAGAGGCCGCCAAGACGGUGAUGAUCUCAAAGGCCAAGCGCACCAAGACAGUGCCGGCGGCGCUGGUGAGCACUAGCUCGUGGUCCAAGGGAGCCAAGGGAAACAUGUCGUCGCUGUAGCGGGCGCAACUCCUUCAAGCGCAGAAGAAUAUGGAGAUCUCAGGUAAUCCACCGCUCCGCUUCACGGUUGUUGAUUCCUUUUCGGAUGAUCAUUCGCAUGAGGUGUUGGACGCGAGUGGAGUUGACCCUUCGUGUGUGUGUGGGGGGAGUCAGAGAGCUGAUUUUGCUCGUUCACGCCAAGGCGUCGGCGCUGGCAGCGCUCGCGGCUUCUGCGGCAGCGCUUGCUGAACAGAGGUCCGGUGAACCCGGGAGAGGGGUCACCGCUGCUCUAUCUAUGCCCGAAGAGGGGGGUCGGGCAACAGGGGCUGCCCCCUCUCCCUCGCCUUUGUAGGGGCAAGGUGAGACGCGUGGCAAAGGCGGUCACCUCGAGGGGUGUCCGGCUACGUAACCGCGUCAUCUAUGUGUGAUCCCUGUUCUGGAAUAUUCGUGGUUUCUGCCACCCGGGGCGACUUAACCAACUUAAGGAAUAUGUGCGCAGAGAGGACGUCGAUAUCGUAGGAUUACAGGAAACAAUCAAUGAGGACUUUCGUUUUCAUGAGUUGCUCUCUCUAGACCCGUUAGAACGGUUCGAGUGGCAGCAUGUUCCUGCAGUUGGGCAUUCGGGUGGAAUGCUGUUGGGCUUAAGUCGCAACUUGUAUGAGAUUAUCGACUAGGAUAUUGGUUCGUUUUUCAUUGCCGCACACUUUCGCAUUCGGGCUUCGCUUCGCGAGUUAGUAGACAUACAGGUCUACGGACCGGUGGACCAAUCGCGAUUGGUGGAGUUCUUGGGAGAACUCCAAGACAAAGUCACCACGGUGACCGCGGCGGCGCUCCCUGUCCUGGUGGGAGGGGAUUUCAACCUGAUCAGGUCGGGAGCGGAUAAGAAUAAUAGUAACAUAAACUGGCCUCAGGUGGCAUGUUUAAUACUGCUAUUGCGUCUAUGGCCCUAAGGGAGGUGGCCAGGUCGGACGCAAGGUUCACAUGGACAAACAAACAACUAGACCCGGUCCGUUUGGUGCUGGAUCGAGUGUUCAUGUCACCUGAGUGGGAAAUGGGCUUCCCCCUUUGUACUUUGGUUGCAGAGAAUCACAUUGGUUUUGACCAUGUACCGCUUGUUUACUCCUCGGGGGAGGAUAGGGUGCGGCGCAACCCACGCUUUUUCUUCGAAACGGCCUGGUUCAAAGUGCCAGGCUUUGAGGAGCUCUUUAGGGAGAAAUGGUGGGCAUGCGUUAAUCAAAUUGGGCCCUAGAGGGGCCCGAUGGACUUCUGGAACGCUGUCGGGGGACGACUCAGGGCUAGCCUCAAGGGAUGGGGUGCUAACCUAGGGAGGAAUGAUAAAGAGCACAGAGUCGCGAUCCUAGCGGAAAUCGCAUGGAUUGACGUGCAUGCCGAUGCCCGAUUCUUUUUGGAGCGGGAAUUGGCCCACCGGUAUGACCUAGAGGGGAAGAUCGAGGCGUUCGUACGCGCGGAGGAAGAAUACUGGCGUCGCCGUAGUGGCCAGAAAUGGACACUUAAAGGCGACGCCAAUACCAAGUAUUUCCACGCCUACGCUAAAGGCCGACGUGGGAAGUGCGCAAUUCUUAGCACUACUAGGAAAAGGCUAAUUAGUGGCGCACCUAUUUUUGCCAUUAAUGGCGCACUAUAGGUGCGCCACUAUUACCACACCAGUAGUAACAAAUAGUAAUGGCGCACUAUAUGUGCGCCAUUACUAUCACAGACGCAGCAACUAUAGGUGCACUAUAGGUGCGCCACCUAUAGUGCGCCAUUACUAUGCGUAGCAGUGCGCCAUUACUAUCUGACUUAGUAAUGUCGCACCACAUAGAAGUGCGCCAUUACUAACAAUUUUUUUUCAAUUUUUUUGUUAUUUUCUUAAUCUCGGGUCAUUAUGGCUUAAUCUCGGGUCAAAUCGCACUCCGCGGUCAAACUUCCUGAAAGGUCACCCAUCCUCACACUACUCCAGCCUGAGCACGCUUAGCUUCGCAGUUCUAUCCAACCCCAGCACCAACUCACUUAACAGACACUUGUUGAUAUAUCUAUCAUAUCAAUCCUAUUAAACCUUGUUGAUGUCUAGGACUUUGUUCAUGUUCAUGAGUGUGAUGAAAUUUUGAAAAAAUAUUUCAAACUUCCUGGUCAUAUUACGUAUCAUAUUUUGCAAAAAAAUCCAAAAAAAAUUUGAAACCAAUUUUUUUUCUGUUACUAGUGGUGCACCUAGCAAAUGGUGCGCCACUAGUAAGUUUGAAUUCUUUUUCCAUUUCCCCCCUCUAGAUCUUAAAAGCCCUGUAUCUUUCAUUCUAUUAGGUUUUUGGGGAUUCUGAAAAUCUUGAACAAAGUUUCCCCUGUUCAAUUCGGAUGUAACUUUUCGAGUAGAUGAUUUUUCAUAUAAAAAACUUUUUAAUCCGAGUUCGUAUGCAAAAGUCAUGCCCAUUUUACUAAAUUCUAGAGAGAUUUUGCAAAUAAAGUCGAAAUUCAUAUUUGUAAAUUUUCCCAACAACUAGACCACAUAUCACAUGGGAAACUUAUUUUCUUUUUUUUUUGACAUUUNNNNNNNNNNNNNNNNNNNNNNNNNNNNNNNNNNNNNNNNNNNNNNNNNNNNNNNNNNNNNNNNNNNNNNNNNNNNNNNNNNNNNNNNNNNNNNNNNNNNNNNNNNNNNNNNNNNNNNNNNNNNNNNNNNNNNNNNNNNNNNNNNNNNNNNNNNNNNNNNNNNNNNNNNNNNNNNNNNNNNNNNNNNNNNNNNNNNNNNNNNNNNNNNNNNNNNNNNNNNNNNNNNNNNNNNNNNNNNNNNNNNNNNNNNNNNNNNNNNNNNNNNNNNNNNNNNNACGUGGUGCCCAUUACUAGUUUUUGCAAAAAAAUAAAAAAAUUAAUUGUCAGUAGUGGUGCACCGUGGUUGUGGUGCGCCAUUACUAGUUUGAACUAAUAAUGGCACCCUAUACACUGGUGCGCCAUUACUAGUUUUGAAAAAAAAAAUAAAAAAAAUUGUUAGUAGUGGCGCAGAGAGUGUGUGGUGCGCCAUUACUAGUUAAAAAACUAGUAAUGGCGCACUAUGCCCUGGUGCGCCAUUACUAGUUUUCGAAAAAAAAUAAAAUUUGUUAGUAGUGGCGCACCGUGGGUGUGGUGCGCCAUUAGUGAUAUGGACAUUAAUGGCGUACCUACAUAUGGUGCGCCAUUAAUGUCCAUAUUAGCUAUAGCCCUUUUCCUAGUAGUGUAGGUUGCAAUCGGAACAUGGGCUUCUGUUGUGACAAGAGGACAUCUCUCGCCACAUUUAUGAGUUUUACAUCAACUUGAUGGGGACGUGCGAGGCCUAGAGGGCUGGUUUGCGCGAGGACGUGUGGGAUGCAUCACAACGGGUUUUGGAGUGUCAGAACGACGAGCUGGGGCUCGCGUUCCUCCCCGAAGAAAUUGAUGCUGAUCUGAUGGGUAUGAAAGUGGACACGGCACCGGGCCCGGAUGGGUGGCUGGUUGCUAUGUUUAAGCGUUUCUGGCCUCUUCUUAGAGACCCAAUUUUUGAGAUCUGCAAUGGGUUCAUGCGUGGGAUGGUAGAUAUAGCGCGCCUUAAUUUUGGAGUUUUAUCGCUCAUUUCGAAGGUCCAAGGGGACGACAACAUUAGACAGUUCCAUCCUAUUGCGCCAUUAACAUGCCAUUUAAGAUUUGAGCGAAAGCGUGUGCUACACGGCUAGGACCAAUCGCUCACCGUUCGAUUCACCAUAACCAGAUGUGCAUUUAAUGAAGGCAAUGAGGUGUAUCGAGUUUGUGCCAGUACUACAAGUCCCAGAACACAGACCUCGUCUUCCAUACCUUCAGCAGCGGCUCCGACGCCUUUUUCAUCGCCUUUCCCGGCGCGGGGAACUCCUUCCAGUUUUUCAACAACUCAUCGAUUUCGGCACCGCUCCGCUUACGUGGAGGUCCUCGAUGCUCAGCGUGACCAUUUUAUAGAUCUCCACGGGUCGUCCUGUUCGAGCCAUCUUCGAUGCCCAUGUACACGAUUUUCCCAGACCCGCCAUCUUUCCUUGACGUUAGCUGCUGAGACGUCGUAUCAUCCAUGCACCGCGUGCAUCCGCAAUAUCCAUGGCACACCUGGCCCGCGACAUAUCCGUAACCGAGAUAGUCGUGCACCAUCGUGAUCAGCGUGGCUCCCAUGUAGAAAUACUCGCCUUUGCUGGCGUCCCAUGUCUUGGCUGGUGUUUUCCAUAAAGUGUCUAACUUCUCUUGAAGUAGCCCAGAUACAAAUUAAUAUUAUUUCCUGGUUGUUUCGGCCCUUGAAUAAGCAUGCUCAUGUGAAUGUACUUCGACUUCAUGCACAACCAGGAGGGAGGUUGUACAUCCAUACAAACACGGGCCAUGUGCUAUGGUUGGUGUUCUGGUUGCCAAACGGAUUCAUGCCAUCGGUACACGCGCCGAGCACGAUGAUCCUUGCAUCACAUUCGAAAUACCGAUAGAAGCUGUUGAACGCUCUCCACUGGCUUCCAUGCUUGAUGUGUCUCAACUUUGGAUCAUCUCCAGCGUCGGGCUUCUUCCUAUCCGCGUGCCAGCGCAUUAGCUUUGCUUCCUUGGGAUCUACGAAAUACCGCUGGAGACGGGGAGUGAUCAGUAAGUACCAUACAACUUUCUGGGGACAUUUCUUCCCGGCCUUCUUGUAUCGAGAAGCAUUGCACACUGGACAGCUUGUUUUUUCCGCGUGCUCCAUCCAAUAAAUAUGCAAUAGUUUAUGCAUGCAUGGUAUCUAACAUGCGGCAGAUCAAGAGGGCACAUGAUCUUCUUGGCCUCAUCAACACUAGUAGGACAUAGAUUCCCCGCGGGAAGAACAUCCUUUAGGUACAUGAGAUGCUCAUCGAGGCUAGUGUCGGUCCAUUUGUUUUUAGCCUUCCGUCUUCAGGAGUUGGAGCGUGAAACUCAAGCGAGUCACCUCAGAAUUGCAACCAUCAUACAAUGGAGUGUUCGAGUCUACCAGCAGUUGCUCCAGCUUAGCCUCCUCUCUAGAAGCAGCUCUCUCAGUACUCGUGUCCUUGCGAAGCAGUGCUUGAACAUGAGGGUCCCGCACGAUUGAACUUAGUACCGACAAACUCUGCUGCGUGGAGUCCACGUUCUCUCCGCCGCCAUGUCCGGCCCCUUCUCCGCCGCCAUGUCCGCCUCUUCCCCGCCACCAUUAUCGAUCAUCUCUUCGUCUUGCCCCAUGUCGUCAUCGCCUUCCCCGUCGGCGUCCUCAACAUCGUCAUCCUCAUCUUCAAUUAUCCACCGAGUAUAGCCAUCCAUGAAACCUGUCAUGAAAAGGUACGCUUCGACACGACCAUCGUCAUAGGGGUCGAGCCGAACUAUUCCUUCGCAUUUUCGACACGGACAGAAAACCUCUGUCCGGUUAUUUUCUUUCAUGUCCCGCACCGCCGACCGCAACCACCUGUCCACCAUCGUUCCACUGACCAUCAUGAACGUCUGCACGGUAAUAAUAAACAAAUUGAUUAUAAAAAUGCGUGCAUGCAUCAAAGUCAUACAAAAAUUCGGCAUGACCAUCCCUAAAAAUAGGACAAAUAUAGAUCUAGAGUUUGCCUGGAAUUCGCCGAAACGGAAAUAAAUCGACAUUUCGGCAAAACAUAGGCACCUCAAAAGAACAAUUUGGCGUCAACACAUGCCAGACACACAAUUUCCAUCAUAUUGCCCAAUUAUCAUAUCACACACACAUACACAUGUUUCCAUUUUGCAAAAGCAUGAAAUUUUAAUCACCUCUAUCUCGAGAUCGAGCACACGGUGGAGAUGAUGAUGUAGGGAGAUCAAAAGUGCACAAAGCUCUUCUUGACAAAGAUAGAUCUAGUUAGGGGGCAAAUAGGUCACUUAACUAAAUGCNNNNNNNNNNNNNNNNNNNNNNNNNNNNNNNNNNNNNNNNNNNNNNNNNNNNNNNNNNNNNNNNNNNNNNNNNNNNNNNNNNNNNNNNNNNNNNNNNNNNNNNNNNNNNNNNNNNNNNNNNNNNNNNNNNNNNNNNNNNNNNNNNNNNNNNNNNNNNNNNNNNNNNNNUAAUGGGGGGAGAAGUAUUGAGGAAGAAGAAGAGUGAGAGAGGGAGGAUGUGGGAGGUAGGGGAAAGGGAGGAGAGGAGAUGGGGGAGGGGAGGUAGGGGAAAAAGGUGGUGGGGUUGUGUCUUAGCAGUAGUGGGGGAGGAAAAACGCGCUACUGCUAAGAGCAUAGCAGCAGCACUCUUUCCUCACACGCGCUACUAAAAAGCACGCUAAACGGGCCAAUCGUGUGGACAAUUUCCAAAUUAGCAGCAGCGACGUGACUAAAAAGCGCGCUACUACUAUUUUAUUAGCAGUAGCGCGCUUCGUGACACCGCGCUGCUGGAAAAUUUAGGUUGGUGUGUAGUGUCGGCCAAUUUUUGCAGGAGCAAGGUUUAAAGGUCACGCGCUACUACUAAAUUUACAUCAGUAGCGCGGUUUUCCUAAGCUAGCUACUGCUAAUUAGCAGUAGCGCCUCUUUUUGUGCCGCGCUGCUGCUAAGAUUCUGUGUAUAAGGUUUUCCCUAGUAGUGAUCUGUUUUGUGUCAACUUAAGAGUGUGCUGAAGCUAGAUUAUUCCAAAGCUUGAAUUUUAGGCGUAGGUGAAGUGUCGUGUUGAUCACCCUCUUUCAGCACCCACUACUAGGGAAAAUCCUAUACAUAGAAUCGUACCAACAUCGCGCUUUAAAACAAGGCGCUACUGCUACGUACUAGGAGCGCGUGCCGACGAAACGCGCUGCUAACAUAGAUGUAGGAGUACUGCGCCUAUGAUAAGCCGCACUACUGCUAUAUUUGCCACGACCCCGCCGCGAAGCUAGUUAUAGGAGCAGCACCUUAUUACAAAGAGUGGUACUGCUACAGAUCAUAGCAGUAGCGCAUGCUCACUAUAACUGCUACUGCUAAGUUUACUACAAAAUUUAGUCCCACCUUGCUCCACGAACAGUGUUUUUACCAUCUUAAAUAUGUUAGUUCUCAAACUAUCACUACCACUUGGUUUUCAUUGAACUCUAUGUGUAGAAUUUUUGGCUGCAAUAUGAGUCUUCUCCGGUUUCUAAAAACAGAUGAGGUCUCAUAUUGAUAAUUCAGAUUGUACACAAAAAGAUCAUUGAUGAUUAAUGUAUUUUUUAUGUAUAUUUUUACAUGUUUACACAUAACAGUAGCGCGUUUUGCCUAUAAGGCACUACUGCUAGGUCUUUUAGCAGUAGCGCAUUUCUCUAUAGCAUGCUACUGCUAAGCCAUUCUAUCUUCCCCAGCCUACCACCUAUCACUCUCGUCUCUCCACUCACACUCACUCGAUCUCCCCCCUCAAUCCCCCCGCGCCAGUCCCCCCCGCCAGCCGCCGUCGCCUACCCCUUCUCCCUCUGCGCCGCCGUCACCUCCCUCUUCUCCCUGGACCCGGUAAACCUACGUCGGCCGCCCUCCUCCCCACCCCCUCCUCCUCCGUCCUCCCUCCACUCCUCCGUUCGCAGCCGGCCGGCCCCUCCUCGCNNNNNNNNNNNNNNNNNNNNNNNNNNNNNNNNNNNNNNNNNNNNNNNNNNNNNNNNNNNNNNNNNNNNNNNNNNNNNNNNNNNNNNNNNNNNNNNNNNNNNNNNNNNNNNNNNNNNNNNNNNNNNNNNNNNNNNNNNNNNNNNNNNNNNNNNNNNNNNNNNNNNNNNNNNNNNNNNNNNNNNNNNNNNNNNNNNNNNNNNNNNNNNNNNNNNNNNNNNNNNNNNNNNNNNNNNNNNNNNNNNNNNNNNNNNNNNNNNNNNNNNNNNNNNNNNNNNNNNNCUCCUCGCUCCGCCUUCCUCCUCCGUCCUCCUUCCUCCUCCAGUCGCCCCUCCUUCUCCCUCCUCCCUCCUCCAUCCACAACCCCUCCUCCUUGCUACAUCUUGAUUUAGUAGGCUAGUUCAUUGCAACACUUUGAUUUAGUUGAUAUGAUUUACUUGAUUUAGUAGGCUAGUUGAUUUAGAACAUUUUGAUUUAGUAGGAUAGUUGAUUUAGUUAAUUUAGUAGGCUAGUUGAUUUAAUUCAUUUAGAACAUUCUGAUUUAGCUGAUUUAGUAGGCUAGUUGAUAUGCAACAUUUAGAGAGACAGAGAGACAGAGAGACAAAGAGAGAGAGAGAGAUAUGAUAGUUGAUAGUUUUUUGUUGAUAUGAUUGACCGAUUAGUAAAAAUUUAGACAUAGUUGAUAGGUUUUAGUUGAUAUAAGCCUCUGGCCAUAUAUAAUAAUUCGAUAUAGGAUAUUUUCUAGGGUUUAGAAUAGUUGAUUCUAGUUUGCUACGUUGGUUUGCAUGUUGAGCUUGAUGAUCAUCCCAUGCUAAGUUAUUGUUUUCUUUGCUCAUAUUGCUUUAGGAAAAUGGCGCGACCACCACCACCACCAUGUCGACUGUGCAAGUCAUGGUGUGGCAGCAGCCUUGCAACUGGCAACCUAUUCGGCAUCUUCUUCCAGCCGAGUUUUUGUCAUGCGGCGGUAAGAAAUUAUAUGAAAUGUAACAAGUAUUUUGAUUUUAGUGUUGGCAUUAAUGCAUUGUGUCAUUUUUAUUUUUGUACACAUAUCGUCUCAUGCAAUGUGAGGUUGAAAUUCAACAAGCUGACAGGAGACACUGUGACCUUUGAGGCACCUAGGGGGCCCUACACUAUGGAGGUCGAGAAAGGACGUAAUAUGUCGCAAAUUGGAGGAGAUGGAUGGUCCCAUUUCCUCGCCCACAUGUGUCUUACUGGUGGUGAGUUGGUGAACUUCCCAUGUUUUUAGUUAAGCUCUGCGUGUCCACGGCCAUCGAUCAAUGGUAGCAGUUUGUCAUUGCUUGAUUUCUGCGACCACAGAAAUUUCACACUGCACGCUGAUUACCGCAAUACAUGGAACUGAGUUGAUGCUCAGUAUACAGUUGACAACCGAACCACUAGUCAUGGAUAAUUUGUUUAUGUAGUUAAUUGCUCUUUGUGAUGAAUUUGAUGUAGUGUUGUUUUGCAUUCUAUAUGGUUGCUCUCUUGGAAAUGUGUGGUCCAUGGUAUUCAUCUACCCUAAACAUUUCUCGCUUUUAAAUUUUGUCUGUUUUGGGUUGUGUCAUAUAGGGAGACCUGAGAUGGCGCUUUCUUUCAAUAUGGCAGGACCUUCUAAAGGGAGGAAAACCACCCUGGAUGUCACAGCCUUUGGGAGGGAAGCCCUACACAUCUCGGUUCAAGUGAGUCAUUGAUCCCCAACCCCCGCCCCUCUAUCUCUCCCUCUCUCUCUUGCUGUGAGAUGUUCUGGCCAUCAAGCCAUUGAUUUAGUGUUUGGAUCGGUUAUUUAAUUGCAUGUCUGGUACACUACUAGGAAAAAGGCUACUAGCAGCGCGGGUACCCGCGCUACUAGUAUCGUACUACAGCUAAUAGUUAGUAGUAGCGUGGGUGCACCCGCGCUACUACUAAAAAGUUGGUAGUAGCGCUGGUGCACACCAACGCUACUACUAUUUGCUACUAUCAAAAUAGUAGUAGCGCUUCUAGUAUACUAGGCGCUACUACUAUGCUAGAUGGUAGUGGCGUGUAGUUUUGCCCAGCGCUACUACUAACAAAUGAUAAAUUUAAAAAAAUAAAAAUUACGUGCAUUAUUCAUAGAUAGAAAUCAGGGACACGUCCAGUGCAAAAUAAAUUAAACACACACAACCGAAGGUGGCUACCUUCCCUAGUGUUCCACCACUAGCCUAAACAGACCACUUCUCUACAUUUAUCUACCAAGGCUCGGAGUUCAGACGCCGGAGGACCCGAAUCCUCCCUCACCCCGAAAGAUGGCGUCGAGGUCCUCCACCUCUCCGACAUCCGGCAUCGUGAUCACAUGGACGAUCAUCCGGGCGGUGCGGUCGCUGGGCUUCACGUCGAAGUCCACCUCUAAGUGGUUGAAGAGCAUGACGCCCACCAGGUUGUCGUAGUCAGCCACGUCGGGAAAGUGAAAACUUGUUAGUACGCAUCAGAGUUCAAAUUCGGUAGGGUAUUUUCUUUCUUUUUAGCACAUGCACAUGCAUCAAUAGUAACAGCCGGAGGCUAGUCCUUACUUUUUGCAUGAGACAUGAAGAAGGCCAGGUCCCCUCUUCGUUGCACGAAUGAAUCAAAGGAAGACACUGCCACAAGACAUGAAGAAGGCCGGGUCCCCUCCUUUUGUAAAUAGCUCAAGUGCCUGAAGUUGCAAGGAAUCUUAAUACAAUGAACUUAUAGUAAUGCAUAAUAACAAGAAAAAGGAAAAAAAAUCAUGAAUCCUAAAGAAAAAGAUCAUUAUGUGAGUCAAGAUAAUGUGGGCAACAGUAUUCAUUAAUAAGAAAAAUGGGAUGAGAUUUCUGAAGUGACAUUUGUUUCACCAACAAUGAUUAAUGACGAGGCAUGUAAGAUUUACCUGCGCAACAUCAGCAUACCCUCUGGUCCUUGCAAGAACUUGAAGACCAAGGUUCUAGCUUUCUCCCCACUGACUAGCACAAGUGCAGCGGCACCGUCGCUGUACAUUAACCCAAGAUCUGCUUUUCAUAGGAACAGUAAAAGCUGUACUUAACCCAAGAUCUGCAUUUUUCACAUCAUCUUCUCCUUGUCAACCAAUAGAUUUUGGGGCUUUAAAUCCCUAUGAUAUCAAAGAGGAACAAUCGUAAAUCACAUUAGCAACAAUUGCAAUAUGUUGUAUGGGCCGAUAAAUACAGCAACAUAAAUCAGAAAACAAAGGUCUAACCGAUGAAGGACACCAUGGCCAUGGCAGUGUGCAAUUCCUUUGCAUAACUGAUACAAAAAUCUCUACAAGAAUGUAAAGAAAGUUUUCUAUUAGCCCGAAACAGACCUAUCAAAAUUAAACUGGACUCUGGCAUCUGCUAUCCAAUGAAAAUUAACGAUAGCAUCCUCAAAAUAAAGGCAUGAAGAUGAAUUGAUUCCAAAGAUAACAACAAAUUAAUCUGUACUUGAGUGUAUGCAAAACAGAGAACACAGCAGCAGUCAACAUUGAGUUUCAACCAUUAUACUAGCACUACUUAGUUCCUAAUUUAGUAUCCUGCAACUAGGCUAGAGUAGUAGAGUUUGCAUAUUUUUUGACGAAUUCAAACUAGCUACAAAUUUACAAUGUAGUUCGCUCUGAUUGCAUAUCAAUGUUUUGCACGUUUCCGAUGCAAAACUCAGAGUUCAGAAUGGGCAUAUAUGAGGAAGUGCCAAGUCCUCAAAUCGAUGGAUAGGAGACUCAGCCGAUGUAGCAUCGGCAGAAAGCCAAGUGAGCAGGGCAAGGGCAAAUCAGCCUCAAAACUAAUUAAAAUCGCUACCUUGAUGACCUGAGUUGGGAGCGGCUUAGGGGCAGCUUAAUUUCAGUCGCCACAACCAAAUUUUCAAAAAAUUUCCACCCUUUUCUUCUACUCCCUCUGUAAACUAAUAUAAGAGUGUUUAGAUCACUAAAGUAGUGAUCUAAACGCUCUUACAUUAGUUUACGGAGGGAGUACAUCAUAGCGCAGAAAUCUACUGAUGUGUAUGCGCAUGCUUGACAAUUUUUGAAUAAACUAAGCACAAGCUACAAUCUCCUAGUAUAAUCAGUACACCCACGCGAGAUCCAAAGCUAUGAACAGAGGACAGCCACAUCUAGAACAUGACAGAUCACUCAGGAAACUCCCUAGAAUUCCGCGCAAUUUGUGCAACCGUGGACAGAGUACACGCCCAGAGGGCGGGCAGCGGGGUAGAUCUCGACUCAGCUUACCCGGUCGAGCUCCCGGAGGAGGGAGAGGCCGGCGACGGAGAAGUAGGCGAGGGUGAGGUGGUUGACCUCCUGCGUGGCAUAGCCGUCGGGGAGCUCGGACGACAUGACCUCUAGGAACGCCGCGUGGCGCGCGUGCGAACCCGGCCGGCUCCUCCUCCUGGUCCCCCAUCUCCGGCGGUCGUCGGUCGUGGAAAGUGAAGGCCUCUCUCUCUCCUCGUCGCCGCCGAUUGGUCUGACCGGUGCAGGGGAACGAAUCCUGCCGCGCUUGGGACUUUGGGAGGGGGCUGAGAUGAGCUGACGGUCCCUCGGGGCCGCCGCGCUGCCCCACCUCCAUGCCGCGGCGGGGAGCAGCCCGGGCUGGCCGUCGCGAUGGGCCUUGUCGGCUGGGCGGUGGAGGAUCCCGGCAUGGAUCGGAAAAAGGGAGAGAUCCCGUCGGCAGAGGAGAUGAGAGGAGGUGGAGGGGAUGUGAAUCAGGGGUGGGUGGGGUGCGGGAGUGGGUGGACUGGGACUGAAAGGCUAGCGUAGCGCAGGGUAUCUCACCGGUGCUACAGAUAUCCACUUAGCAAUAGCGAUUGUUUAAAACCCACGCUACUACUAUGGUAUGUCGGCAGGGCACGGUCGAAAAUAUUUACUAAUAGCGUGUUAUUUUUUGCCACACGCUACUAGUAAAUAGUAUUAGUAGCGCGGGUCAUUAUAGCGCGUUACUAGUAAAUAGUAGUAGCGUGGGUAAAUAAAGAGCGCUACUAGUAAGCGUCUGUGUAUAAGCUUUUCCCUAGUAGCGGUAGUUUCAAACACAAUGUUGUAUGCCCUUUGUAAUUUCUGGUUUCCUAACUAAGCAGUCCAAGCAUGUAUCUCUAAUUUGUGAUGGAUGUGACAUCCACUUUCUAGUAAUUUUGUGAUGCUGACCAAACGAACUACACUACUAAUACUAGUUGAACAAGAAGGUCGGUUCGAUGCUGUUUGCUUGUACGAAUGAGUCCAAGCAGUUUGUGUUAAUUUGUUUGAAGUUGGCUGGUUGCACCUUUAUCCCAUUACAGGGUUUGAAAUGGCUCCUCCACCUUUCUUGGGCUAAUAAAGUGCAGGAUUCUCCCAUUACCUGGCUAUAUUCGUGUUAGCUGACAAUAUAUACUCCCUCCAUCCCAAAAUAAGUGUCUCAACAUUAGUGACACUGCCAAGCGCGAACACUUUGGUGUCUGUGACCAUACGCUAGCUAAAUGGCCGAUCAUCUUUGGUUCCCUCUCUCCUUUUGGUUUUUAGCAUAGCAUGCCGUUGUUUUUGUUGUCCCCCUGGUAGUAUAAGCCAACACUUGGGGUGUGAGAUUGUCUAGUGCCUUUUUAGAUUAGUCACCAUAAAACAUUUUGUUUGUGAAGUUGAUUGUGACAGAACUUCGAUUACGUGAGGGUCUGUCGUUACUUAAGCCCAGCUUAUGUACAAGGGUGUCUUUUCGUUUUGGGUUCUGAGCAUAGCAUGUUUUUGUUUUUGUCAUCUCGUUAUAAUAGUACCAGCCAACAGUUUUGUGUGAGAUUGAGUUUCUAGCUUCUUUUUUUAUAACUGGCUAUAGAACAUUUAGUUUGUGAAUCCCUUUCGGGGGUUCCUUAGGGACCGAUUCCCUCUGCACAGAUUGACUGAGCAUGUCUGGUCAUUGUUUCUUUAACUUGUUGCAUGUGUAUUUGAAGCUCUGACUUAGAAGUUUUGUUCCUAUGGUCGUCAGGUUAUGUGCCAUGGAAUGGACGGAAGAUGGUGAGCGACCACUAAUGGAUGUGGUCGAAUGCACCUUGCCAGUCUCGAGAGUCCUUGGAAGUGGACGGUGGCCCUAUUGGUUGAAGGCAGGGGAAAAUUGCUCGACGUAUUUCAGCAAUCAACAGGGCACUUUUAGGCUUGUUUUCCAUUGGAUGGACUGAGAGGGGUCUGUAGAGAGAUCCCAAUCUUAUGGUCUAAGUGUCUGUGCUAAAUGGUGAUACAUUCUGAGAUACAAGAAGACCCUGCCGAUCUAAUCUUGAAGACUACUGAUUGGCAUUAUUGUGUUUAUUUUCACUUUUCUCUCUUGUAGGCUGAGGUGUCUCAGAACUUUGUAAAAUUGAUGGGAUGGUGAUAUAUGUUGGCCUUGUCCCAGGGAUUGUAUUGUGUGGCAUGGAGGGAGUUAUUAUUGUAUUUUCGGUUAGUGUCAAGAGAUUGGAAUGAAUGUGUGCGGCUCAAAUUGUAGUAAUUCUUCAUGAAUGAUUCAUUCAAUAGUUAUACGUACAAUAAUAACUUGUGCAUGAAAACAUAUCUAGUAUGUUGUUGUGGAAAGCAAUUGCUUUCUUGCUUUCAAAUUUUCCAUUAGAAAAAUAAAUUGGAGUGGUUGUGCUUGUGUAUGCAUCAACAUGUGAGCAAGCAUAGUAUUGCUUGGCUGGUAGUUAUUGUUGUCCCCGACAAUCAUGUCGAAACUGGAGGGUUGGAUUUGGAUUCUUCUCUCUUUUGGUGCGUAUUACUACUUGCAACAAGAUUAUGUGACAAGGAAGUAGAAGAUAAUUGAUUAGUGGUGCAUUUUAAUCAUGUGAUGAUUACUAGUUUUGAUUGAUGCUUGAUGAUGGUUCAACUUGAUCAUGUUCUAAUAUUGAUGAUGAUCACUAGGUUGUUCUGAUCAUUCUUAUUUCGAGCAGACAGUGUUGAAUCGAAUAUGUGUAAUGUUAUAUGCUACCAUAUCUGUCACAAGUAACAAAACAUCUUAUAAUUAGGAACCGAGGAAUGCAAAAGAGCAACCUGUUUUCUCUUCUUAGUUAUCUUCUCUAAUCUAGGUACUAUUCCUAAUAAUAUGUAAAAUCUACUAGGGAAGAUCAGUUUUUGUUUUGGGAAUCAGACAAUUCAAAUUUGUUAGGAGGAGAGAGAAAGGAGAGAUCUCUGCAAGUUUGUUAGGAGGAGAGAGAAAGGAGAUAUCUAUGCAAGUUUGUUAGCAGGAGAGAAAGGAGUGAUCUCGACAAGUUUGUUAUGAGGAGAGACAAACUAGAGAUCUGAGUGACGUGAUCCUUGGAUUCACAUUACAUAUGAAAAAAAAUUGGAAACAGCCAACCGAUUUGCAUCCUUGGAUUCACAUUAUAUAUGAAAAAAGAUGGAAACUGCCAACCGUUUUGCAGUUAACCCUCUCGCUUAUCCCUCCUCCUUGGAAUCAGGCAAUCCCCAUUUAAUUGCUACCGUUAAAUAUAUCGCCCCUCCUCCUCCCUUUGUUCAUUUGUUCCAUCCAUUGGUUGGCAUCCAUCAAAGGUCUGUCAUACCUUACGCCACCUCACCGAUCCGCGGCCUCCUGGUUCUUCUAAGGCCAUCACUAUAUGUACUAGAAACAGUGAUACAUCUGUGUGCGGGGUGCGCGUGCGACUUAGGACUUGGGACCUUGGGCGACGGCGGUGGCGACGGGCGUGAGGAACUUGGACGCAGACAAAGCAUCACAAGCCUAUUAAGCUGGCAACGGGCAGCAGAAGCCCGACAUUGACGACACAGAUGAGGAGCCCUGCCGCUAGGGACGCGCGGAUGAAAGAUGAGGAGCCCUGCCGCUAGGGAGGCGCAGAUGAAAGAUGAGGAGGAUUGAGGCCUCCGACGCCCCUCCAGUCCUGCAUGCUGGCGUGGUGAGAGUAACGAGGAGGAGGAGGAAGCAUUUGUUCGUGCUCUGGCAGUGCGGAGGCACUGGCCGGCCAGAGAUGAAGGGCUCGGUUGGCGGGGGUCCUGUUUAUUGGCUCCCAGUCCUAGCGGCGAGCGCGCAAGGUCGGAGAUGGAUUUGAUCGGGUUGGGUUGGAUUGGAUUGAAAAGAAAGGGAAGGGAAGAACGUGUGUCGUCAAGGAGGAGGAAGAAGAAGAUGUAAUAAGGAUGUACGGACUCGAGUUGCCUGCUGACGAAAUGCGUGCGUUUGGGUGGAGAUUCGCGCUUCGAAGUAGAAAGCCGUGUUUAAUUCUAACACUCAUCUUGAGGAGUCACUCUCAAAGCAUACAUAUGCAGACUCGUGACGUGACAAAACACAUACCGACUGCUUGACAAGAUCUCGUCUUGGAGACUAAACAUGGACAAACGAUUGUGGUGGUAAAUCGAUGUUUCAUGAGAGCAAGCUAGAGACAACGAAACGCCUAGAGACAACGAAAUAUGGAGAAAUGAUUGUGGUGGUAGAUAUCAUGGUCUCAAUAUCCCGCAAAAAAAUUGCUCUUUCCUCUAUUGUGUACUUUUUUCUGUGCAUUACUGGUCUCCCGCGUAGUAAGACCAUAUGAAAGCAGCAGCGCAGAAUGGUCUCUCGCCUAGGCUAGGCUACCUGUGACUGAGACGGAUCUACGUUUACAUAUAGGAUCACUUUUAUCGUCACCGUCUGUCAUAGCUUCAUGUAAAAAGCUAAAGGUCAAUUUGAUUUUCUCAAGGGAAAAGUGUACUUUUAGUCCCUUAACUUUCAAACUGGACAACUUGCACCUCCAUCUCUUGAAACCAG
rnacentral:lncRNA from 1 species